CAAAGAGAAAAAAGAGGAAAUGAUUUGCAACAUAAAAAUAUUUUAUUUUGUUUUGGUUACAAAGAAAAAGGGAAAAAAAAUUGAAACAGAUCUCAGAAGAAGAAAUAAGAAAACACAGUAAAUUCAGAUACUUCGUCUCAACCCAGAUCUCUGAAGGUGAUUCCGGCGAGGACUUUUCAGAUAUUCUCAACCCGUAAAAGGGGAGAAGUUGAAGAAGUGGAAAGGUAGAGUAAAAGCGAGAUGACAAAGAGAUGGUGUGCGGUGGGUUGUGGUCGGAUCUGGGUUCGUGAGGGUGAGGGACGAGGUCGAGGGGAACUGAGGUUGAUAGUUCCCUUGAUCGUCUUGCUGAUCGGGUAUACGAAUCUUGUGGCUCUGUCUCGUUUUCGUGCUUGGAGCAUCUAAAGUUCAGUGCUUUUCUCACACAGAUCUGGGUUUUUAUUCUUGAUCUUUAUGGAUCAGUUGGUGUUGUUUGUCAAUAAUAAAUAUGGACCAGUGUUGGCUAUGGCA